UGAAAAAGACAAGGUGAAUGGAACCAAGUUGGAAAACACUCUUCAGAAUAUUAUCCAGAAGAACUUCUCCAAGUUAGCAAGACACGCCAACAUUCAAAUUUGGGAACUACAGAGAACACCACAAAGAUACUCCCUGAGAAGUGCAACCCCAAGACACAUAAUCGUCAGAUCCACAAAGGUUGAAAAGAAGGAAAAAUGUUAAGAGUAGCCUGACAGUAAAGUUGGGUCACCCACAAAGGGAAGCCCAUCAGAUUAACAGUAGAUCUCUCUGUGGAAAUCCUACAAGUCAGAAGAGAGUGGGGACCAAUAUAGAACAUUUUUAAAGAAAAUAAUUUUCAGCCCAGAAUUUCUUA